rnacentral:rRNA from 1 species
UACAGAGGUCUCAAGCGUUGUUCGGAUUCAUUGGGCGUAAAGGGUGCGUAGGUGGCGCCGUAAGUCGGGUGUGAAAUUUCGGAGCUUAACUCCGAAACUGCAUUCGAUACUGCGGUGCUUGAGGACUGGAGAGGAGACUGGAAUUCAUGGUGUAGCAGUGAAAUGCGUAGAGAUCAUGAGGAAGACCAGUGGUGAAGGCGGGUCUCUGGACAGUUCCUGACACUGAGGCACGAAGGCCAGGGGAGCAAACGGG